AUUGAACGCUGGCGGCAGGCCUAACACAUGCAAGUCGAACGAGUGGCGGACGGGUGAGUAAUGUCUGGGAAACUGCCUGAUGGAGGGGAAUAACUACUGGAAACGGUAGCUAAUACCGCAUACCAUCGGAUGUUCCCAGAUGGGAUGAGCUAGGAGGUGGGGUAACGGCUCACCUAGGCGACGAGCCCUAGCUGGUCUGAGAGGAUGACCAGCCACACUGGAACUGAGACACGGUCCAGACUCCUACGGGAGGCAGCAGUGGGGAAUAUUGCACAAGGGGCGCAAGCCUGAUGCAGCCAUGCCGCGUGUAUGAAGAAGGCCUUCGGGUUGUAAAGCACUUUCAGCGUGGAGGCGUUACCCGCAGAAGAAGCACCGGCUAACUCCGUGCCAGCAGCCGCGGUAAUAC
rnacentral:rRNA from 1 species